GAUGAAGAACGCAGCGAAAUGCGAUAAGUAAUGUGAAUUGCAGAAUUCAGUGAAUCAUCGAAUCUUUGAACGCACAUUGCGCCCCCUGGUAUUCCGGGGGGCAUGCCUGUUCGAGCGUCAUUUCACCACUCAAGCCUCGCUUGGUAUUGGGCAACGCGGUCCGCCGCGUGCCUCAAAUCGACCGGCUGGGUCUUCUGUCCCCUAAGCGUUGUGGAAACUAUUCGCUAAAGGGUGUUCGGGAGGCUACGCCGUAAAACAACCCCAUUUCUAAGGUUGACCUCAGAUCAGGUAGGGAUACCCGCUGAACUUAAGCAUAUCAAUAAGCGGAGGA
rnacentral:misc_RNA from 1 species